rnacentral:rRNA from 1 species
CGGACGGGUGAGUAAUGUCUGGGAAACUGCCUGAUGGAGGGGGAUAACUACUGGAAACGGUAGCUAAUACCGCACAACGUCGCAAGACCAAAGAGGGGGACCUUCGGGCCUCUUGCCAUCGGAUGUGCCCAGAUGGGAUUAGCUAGUAGGUGGGGUAACGGCUCACCUAGGCGACGAUCCCUAGCUGGUCUGAGAGGAUGACCAGCCACACUGGAACUGGGACACGGUCCAG